UCAUCUUUUUCUUCAGCCGCCAUCCCCCCUUUCUCUCUCUUCGCACUCUUCUCUCCUCCCCCCGCUCCUCUCUCUCCCGCUCCUCUCUCUCUUCUUCACACAUGAAACCCUAGCCCAAAUCAUAAUCCAUCCAUAUAAAUAAUCGAUUUUCCAGUCAAAAGUGGGGCAGAAAAAAAUCGCACAAAAUUCCUGGAGAAAUAGGAGAUUUCGGAGUCGCAGAAAUUCCCCCCAAAAAAUGAGAAGUCCCUUUUAUCUGUAUUGAAUCUUUGAAAAACAAGAAAGUUCUUGGAGCCGCAUAAAAUUUCCUGAAUGUGAAAUUUCCCUCUAAAUAUUAACUCACUAUUUUUGAUAGUCGAAGCGUUGAAUCGUGCGUUUUAUUCGCUCUUGUUACUUCCGUUACUGUUUUCGCAUCCGAGUCUACGCAAACUAGGAGAUUCGAAGUGUUCGAGGUAGAUCUGAAGCCCCGCACCCCAUUUGGCUGCACCUAAAAAAGAGUGCUCAUGAGCAUAAAUUAUGUAUAUACUGAUGAAAACGAUCGGGACGAUAACCCGUACCUGCGUAGUGUAUUAGUGACGGUUUGUGACUCGACGCAUCAUCAAUCUGGUAUAUCCUUUUUAGAUAUUAAAAGGCGCGGGGAGAGAUUGAGAUGUUGUACUUGUUGCGUGCGUGCCCGUUUGUGGCUAACGGUUACUAUCCAAUUUGCGAGAAGGAUUCAAGUAAAAAAGGAUUUGCUCUUAUUGAGCCAGUAGUUUCCUUAGAUACAUGGCUGAAAAGGAAAGAGAAUCUGCAAUUUUGGAGGUACAAAUUUGAAAACAAAAGUAAAUCAGCAUGCAUUGGGGUUGGAAAGGACUUCAUGGAAAUUUUUUUUCAAUUUGCCAAAGCACUUGAAAGUAUACAUCAGGCUAAGUUGUUCCAUGGCAAUCUUCAGAAUGGAAUUAUGAUGGGGUUGGAUUGUAAAAUUCGGAUUUGCAACUUCAAGCCGGGAAAGAAAAUUGAGUCACUUAAUGAGCAUGAAAAAGCAUCUGCUCAACACAAAGAUUUCAAGGAGUUCUUGAAUGUUCUUAAAAAAAUCAGUACAAGUUAUGGUCCGGAAAAUCAGUUGGAUCUUCCACCCGACCUGACUCUUUAUUUUAAAAUGUGUAUUUUCACGAAGGAUCCUCAGAAUUUGAGGGAUUUUAGAGAAACCUCAAAAUGGUUUUACCAACCCCCUUUGGUUUGGAAUUCAGCACGGUGUUUGUUUUUCCUUGAUGAACUUGAUCAGUAUAUUGAUCUUAAUUUGAUUGAUUUUAGCCUAAAAGAUUUUCUUGGAAUGUAUAUGGAUUGGCAGAAAGUUAUUCGAGGGACCAAGGAUGAAAAUCUGAUAGAGUGCUUAGAAUAUGAAAAUGGGGCCUUUAUAUAUACUACGCCGUUUGGAAUUAUUCGGUUUGUGAAAAACUACAAGAAACAUUAUAGGGAAAACUACAAGAAAGAUUAUAGGGGUAGUGAAAGAAGAACUACAAGAACGGAGGCUCAACUUGUUAACUACGUUACAAAACUCUUUCCAAAUUUUUUUAUGAAUGUUUAUAGCGGAGUUUUUGAGCUCAGGGAUGAGUUCGUGUGGAAUGGCUCACGUGUGGUGACGCUUGGUACUAUUUUAUGGGGGGACCCCUCGGUUUUUGACAUGGACAAAUGUAGGUCAUAAGUUAAGCUGCAGCGACAUUUAGAUAAAUUGGAGGAUCCACUUAAAAUGUACUUUGCUCAUCCGUCUCCAAUUUCACAAUUUGUUAUGUCAUUUGAACAUUUUGCAAGCUAGCUUCCACUCUCUACAGCACAUCUCGAGUACAUGGCUGCAUGGCAUACAUUUGGCGUUCUCCCUUCUUCGAUUUUCCCUGCACAGCCCAGUCCUGCUUUCUCAGAAAUUGCGGCUUAGAUUACAUCGCCAUGGUGUGGAGCUUUCUCUAGGAAUUUUGUUUGUUCUUUAGCCUGCCGUGAUUUUGUUCCAAUGUUGAGUUUUUGUCUUGAACUUCGGUAUAAUUGAGCUUUGUUUUAUUGUUUCUAUGUAUGGAUUGAUCUUGCGAUUUGCGAGGUUUCAUGGAUAUAAUAUUUAACUUUUUCCUUCUUUA